GGCAGGCGCAGCUACACAUGCAGUCGAGCGGCAGCGACAACAUUGAACCUUCGGGGGAUUUGUUGGGCGGCGAGCGGCGGACGGGUGAGUAAUGCUUGGGAAUAUGCCUUAUGGUGGGGGACAACAGUUGGAAACGACUGCUAAUACCGCAUGAUGUCUACGGACCAAAGUGGGGGACCUUCGGGCCUCACGCCAUAAGAUUAGCCCAAGUGGGAUUAGCUAGUUGGUGAGGUAAUGGCUCACCAAGGCGACGAUCCCUAGCUGGUUUGAGAGGAUGAUCAGCCACACUGGGACUGAGACACGGCCCAGACUCCUACGGGAGGCAGCAGUGGGGAAUAUUGCACAAUGGGCGCAAGCCUGAUGCAGCCAUGCCGCGUGUGUGAAGAAGGCCUUCGGGUUGUAAAGCACUUUCAGUAAGGAGGAAAGGUUAAGUGCUAAUAUUACUUAGCUGUGACGUUACUUACAGAAGAAGCACCGGCUAACUCCGUGCCAGCAGCCGCGGUAAU
rnacentral:rRNA from 1 species